CUUAAUGGUGCCUCUAUUAGCUCCAAAUUCAAACCCAAUUAUGUAUGUGUCAGUCCUUCCACCUCAUGAACUUCAUCAAAUUUAAUUUUAUAGGUAUUAGCUCUUUCACCAAGGAACUUCUUUUUUAAAAAGAUUGUCCGACUGCUGACAAACACCUUUUGUUCUGCAGCAAGGUAGAAGUAGUACCCUUAAGUUUUCUUUGGAUACCCUACGAACA
rnacentral:lncRNA from 1 species